rnacentral:rRNA from 1 species
CGGGAUAAUAUAUUUGAGAGGCAUCUCUUAAAUAUCAAAGGUGAGCCAGUACAGGAUGGACCCGCGUCUGAUUAGCUAGUUGGUAAGGUAACGGCUUACCAAGGCGACGAUCAGUAGCCGACCUGAGAGGGGGAUCGGCCACAUUGGAACUGAGACACGGUCCAAACUCCUACGGGAGGCAGCAGUGGGGAAUAUUGCACAAUGGGCGAAAGCCUGAUGCAGCAACGCCGCGUGAGUGAUGAAGGCCUUCGGGUCGUAAAACUCUGUCCUCAAGGAAGAUAAUGACGGUACUUGAGGAGGAAGCCCCGGCUAACUACG